AGAUAUGGUGCAUCUUUUGCUAAUUGAUUAUUGGGGAAGUUGGGUGAUGAGCUUACAUUGCAAAAUUGGAUGUAAUAACCAUGCAUUGAUACUGUUGCUUAUCAGGUUCCUUAUGAUGGAUAAUCAAGUGUCUUCUGGUUAAGUAGAGGUGUGGAACUGCCGUUCUAGAUAAUUGAAUUACAAUGGAAACAAAAGAGAAAUUAUGAAGUUUUAGGAGCUUGGAUUAUAUUAAGAUUGUGUGCAUGUACAUUUGAGAAAUGAAAUGUUGCAUUUGAGUAUAUUUGGCCUUUUGAUUUUUGCUGUUCGAGAUUUUGAAAUUUUGUGGGGCUUGAGGAUUGCAGGUGGAUUGAUAGCCACUUGCCAGGUUAAUUUCACCUUCAUUCAUCUAAUUUAUCACUAUCUCAUUGAAUGAAUUAAUUUCAAUUUGCCCUUGUCUAACAUAAUGAAAAGAAAAGGGAAAAAGAAUAGAAGAAGCUGUAUAUCACGUUGAUAGGAGGUUUAAAGUAGGUAAUUUUACGUAUUACGUGGGAGUUAAUUUGAGAAAGUUAAAAAGUAGAAUUUAGGAUAUAUAUAGAAGUUAAUGAAAAUUAAGUAUUUACAUUUAUUGAUUUUGAAAUGCUAUUUUUAUCCUAAUUAUUGCUGUCUUGAGUGCACUUGAAUUUGACCUGUUUAAUGAUCGUUAAUUUAAGAUUAAAUCAAAUACGUGGCAACUUCUUACCCUUUUCACACUUUCUUGAAAUGAUUCUCAUAUCUGACUAUGAGAUGGUAAAGGUAAUUUGAUGAGUACCCAGUAAGAACAACUUGAAACGGGAUAGCAGCAGAAACGCACAGUGCUUUGCAUUUGACACGUCUCCUGUCCACGCUCGAAUCUACACGACUUUCUUUGACUAUUUCGAGUUAGCUGAGAGUCAUGCAAACAAAAACCUGCAUUUGCAAUCAAAACAAUCGGAACCUUGGAUUGCCCUUCUUAAAGAUGACCUUCGUAAAUAUUUAUUUGCAAAUGAAAGUGGAAAGUGGACUAGAACUUCUCAACCAUGGAGUUAAGGUGAAAGAGCAGCACUUGAAAAGGAUCCAGGAAAUUGCUCAGCCAUAAUCUCCAUGGCUGCAAGAACUUAACCACUUAUCAAGAUGAUAAUGUAUUAGGACACAGAACAUGAUAACUGUUGGCCACAUUUUUAAAUUCGUUCGAGAUACCAAUCCAGAUCACCUGCUUCACUAUCUGUGGGGAGAUGACAGCAUAAACUUGCUACUCUUUUACAAUUCCGUCCAUGUACAUUGCUGUUCUCGGCCAUCUUCAAAUGUUGUUGAUUAAAAGAGUCUAGUCAGAGGGUUCAUUGUUGUGACUUAAGAGCUAGAGAGCUGAGGGGAGUAGUUGUAUUUGUUGUAACUGAUUGAGUUGAGCUAUUCUCUCUCGACUCUCUCUUUCUCUGCUUCUAUGUCCUUCUAUCUUCUUCUUCCCAUCUCUUCUAUUCUCUACUCUGUUCUUCAAUUACUGAUUGAGAUGAUAGCUGGGUUAGGUUCAUGAGCCAAGAACCUGAAACACCACCAACUGCAAGGUCCCUGAGACCUAGAAGAAGAAACCACCAUCUUCCAAGGUCGCUAUGGAGCCGCCUAAUAGCCCACCCAGAAAACUGAAAAGCCAACCUGUGGCACCAGUGCAUCCUGAGAUGAUGAGAGCAAAGCCUCUAAUUCUUCCUGACGAGUUUUGAAGUUUCGGAAGCCUGAAGACAAGAUUCAAGUCCAGUUUCGGGUAAUAACGGCAAGGGCAACAAGCUCUCCUAUCUCUAACUCUAAGAAGAAGAAACCUCAAGCACAAUCAAAUCCAGAAGAAGAGAAGCACACAAGUCCUCAAGUUGAGGGUCACAUUCCCAAUCACAGGCCUUUUCCUGGAAAAUUUGUGGCUGCAGUUAUGAAGGCUACACCAACUCUCAACGUUGAUGGUCCAUCGCAGUUUCCUUAGGAAAAAAUAGUCUUUCUACUUGCUAUAAUAUCAACUUUUGUUUUGUUUGUUAGUAAUUACAUAGAUAUUCAAGCAUGUUGAAUUUAAGUAAAAUUUGUUAAAAGAUUGACAUAAAAAUAAAAAUCAGUGCAAAGAAAACCUAAUUUUAUUG
rnacentral:misc_RNA from 1 species